UACGUAGGGUGCGAGCGUUGUCCGGAAUUAUUGGGCGUAAAGAGCUUGUAGGUGGUUUGUCGCGUCUGCUGUGAAAAUCCGAGGCUCAACCUCGGACUUGCAGUGGGUACGGGCAGACUAGAGUGUGGUAGGGGAGACUGGAAUUCCUGGUGUAGCGGUGGAAUGCGCAGAUAUCAGGAGGAACACCGAUGGCGAAGGCAGGUCUCUGGGCCAUUACUGACACUGAGAAG
rnacentral:rRNA from 1 species